AUGCAGUCGACGGUGAAGCCCAGCUUGCUGGGUGGAUCAGUGGCGAACGGGUGAGUAACACGUGAGCAACCUGCCCCUGACUCUGGGAUAAGCGCUGGAAACGGCGUCUAAUACUGGAUAUGUGACGUGACCGCAUGGUCUGCGUCUGGAAAGAAUUUCGGUUGGGGAUGGGCUCGCGGCCUAUCAGCUUGUUGGUGAGGUAAUGGCUCACCAAGGCGUCGACGGGUAGCCGGCCUGAGAGGGUGACCGGCCACACUGGGACUGAGACACGGCCCAGACUCCUACGGGAGGCAGCAGUGGGGAAUAUUGCACAAUGGGCGCAAGCCUGAUGCAGCAACGCCGCGUGAGGGAUGACGGCCUUCGGGUUGUAAACCUCUUUUAGCAGGGAAGAAGCGAAAGUGACGGUACCUGCAGAAAAAGCGCCGGCUAACUACGUGCCAGCAGCCGCGGUAAUACGUAGGGCGCAAGCGUUAUCCGGAAUUAUUGGGCGUAAAGAGCUCGUAGGCGGUUUGUCGCGUCUGCUGUGAAAUCCGGAGGCUCAACCUCCGGCCUGCAGUGGGUACGGGCAGACUAGAGUGCGGUAGGGGAGAUUGGAAUUCCUGGUGUAGCGGUGGAAUGCGCAGAUAUCAGGAGGAACACCGAUGGCGAAGGCAGAUCUCUGGGCCGUAACUGACGCUGAGGAGCGAAAGGGUGGGGAGCAA
rnacentral:rRNA from 1 species